GUAGGGUGCAAGCGUUAAUCGGAAUUACUGGGCGUAAAGCGUGCGCAGGCGGUUAUGCAAGACAGAGGCGAAAUCCCCGGGCUCAACCUGGGAACUGCCUUUGUGACUGCAUGGCUAGAGUACGGUAGAGGGGGAUGGAAUUCCGCGUGUAGCAGUGAAAUGCGUAGAUAUGCGGAGGAACACCGAUGACGAAGGCAAUCCCCUGGACCUGUACUGACGCUCAUGCACGAAAGCGUGGGGAGCAAACAGGAUUAGAUACCCUGGUAGUCCACGCCCUAAACGAUGCCAACUGGUUGUUGGGAGGGUUUCUUCUCAGUAACGUAGCUAACGCGUGAAGUUGACCGCCUGGGGAGUACGGCCGCAAGGUUG
rnacentral:rRNA from 1 species